rnacentral:miRNA from 1 species
UAGAGUUUUUGUUUGCUUUU